rnacentral:rRNA from 1 species
GUAGGGAAUAUUGGGCAAUGGUCGGAAGACUGACCCAGCCAUGCCGCGUGCAGGAAGACGGCCCUCUGGGUUGUAAACUGCUUUUAUCUGGGAAGAAAAAGGCCAUGCAUGGCAAAUUGCCGGUACCAGAUGAAUAAGCACCGGCUAACUCCGUGCCAGCAGCCGCGGUAAUACGGAGGGUGCGAGCGUUGUCCGGAUUUAUUGGGUUUAAAGGGUGCGUAGGCGGCUGAUUAAGGCAGCGGUGAAAGACUUCGGCUUAACCGGAGCAGUGCCUUUGAUACUGGGUGGCUUGAGUGUCGGAGGGGUACAUGGAAUUGAUGGUGUAGCGGUGAAAUGCAUAGAUACCAUCAGGAACACCGAUAGCGAAGGCAUUGUACUGGCCGACAACUGACGCUGAUGCACGAAAGUGUGGGGAUCGAACAGGAUUAGAUACCCUGGUAGUCC